UGAAACCUGUGGGAAGGAAGAGAGACCU
rnacentral:piRNA from 1 species